GAUGAACGCUAGCGGCGUGCAUAACACAUUCAAGUCGAACGGUGAAGUUUCUUCGGAAACGGAUCAGUGGCGGACGGGUGAGUAACGCGUGAGCAACCUGCCUGUUAAAGAGGGAUAACACAUGGAAACGUGUGCUAAUACCGCAUGAAGCAAUCGAAUCGCAUGUUUUGAUUGUUAAAGGGUUACCGAUAACAGAUGGGCUCGCGUUGGAUUAGGUAGUUGGUGAGGUAACGGCCCACCAAGGCGACGAUCAGUAGCCGGACUGAGAGGUUGAUCGGCCACAUUGGGACUGAGAUACGGCCCAGACUCCUACGGGAGGCAGCAGUGGGGAAUAUUGGGCAAUGGACGCAAGUCUGACCCAGCAACGCCGCGUGAAGGAAGAAGGCUUUCGGGUUGUAAACUUCUUUUAAGAGGGAAGAGUAGAAGACGGUACCUCUUGAAUAAGACCACGGCUAACU
rnacentral:rRNA from 1 species